rnacentral:rRNA from 1 species
GUGGGGAAUAUUGGACAAUGGGCGCAAGCCUGAUCCAGCCAUGCCGCGUGAGUGAUGAAGGCCUUAGGGUUGUAAAGCUCUUUCAGUGGGGACGAUAAUGACGGUACCCACAGAAGAAGCCCCGGCUAACUUCGUGCCAGCAGCCGCGGUAAUACGAAGGGGGCUAGGGUUGUUCGGAUUUACUGGGCGUAAAGCGCACGUAGGCGGAUCGUUAAGUCGGGGGUGAAAUCCUGGAGCUCAACUCCAGAACUGCCUUCGGUACUGGCGAUCUUGAGUCCGGAAGAGGUGAGUGGAACUCCUAGUGUAGAGGUGGAAUUCGUAGAUAUUAGGAAGAACACCAGUGGCGAAGGCGGCUCACUGGUCCGGUACUGACGCUGAGGUGCGAAAGCGUGGGGAGCAAACAGGAUUAGAUACCCGAGUAGUCC